UAAUUUGUUUUAGCAUUUCUGAGAUGCUGUUGAUUUCGUUGUUCCAUGGAUGAGGAAACUCCUCCCAAGGUCCAUCGGCUGACAAUAGUCCAUCCCAGA